GAUAGAAUCUAGCAUAAAUUAGGGAAAUUAUUGACUGAACAGUUAUAUCGAAGAUAGCCUUUAACCUAGAUAACUACAAAACUGAUCUUGGAGACAAAUCAGCAAAGGAACACAAAUAACAUGUGGUAUGCAUCUCGUAAUAUCCAGGUUUGUUAGCUAUAUUAAGGUCGUAGGUCUCUCACUUUUUGAUCGUAGAACUCAACUUUUUGUUCUUACUUUCAAUCUCACCUGAAUUUUUCUGGUCUUUGCUGAGUGUGAUCAUACCUAGACACACCCUUGAAGUAUCCUUUUCUUUAAGGUAUGUUAAGUUUGUUUUGAAUAUGAAAAUUCUGUGGAAAUUUUGAUUUUGCCCAAUUUUGGGUUUAUGCAUUAUGAUCCAUCUUGGUUGUUUUUCCAGUAGUUCAUUGGCGUGCAAUUUAUGUAUUGGUAACCUUGAUUGACGAUAAAUAUGUUUUAUGUACUACUGUCUUGUGAUAUGUGAACUUGGUAGAUUAUUUAUAAUUUUCAUUCCGUAAUAUUUAUCUUCAACUCGGGUCUUACUGUUAGUUCAUGUAAGUGCUUGAUUUGGAGUUAUCAUUACUGGUUUAUUUGUACUUUAACUUGAUUCAGAAUCUGAUUUGUGAAGUUUAUCAUCUGCUUCAACUUAAGGAUGUUUGUAUUCCCUGUUGUCAGCGUCUUUGUUGCUAUCAAUUCUUGUUAAUAAAUUCUAAAAAUGGUACUGAACUAGCCACUGCUUACUGGGAAAAACAUUGUUCGACAAAAAAAAUUAACUAAAAUAUUAGCUUUAAGAGAAUCAAAUGUGGAUUUUCUUCAGUGGCAAAAUUCAAAGUUCAGUUUCUAAAAGUAGGAAUAUUAACUUUGCCUUAAAGAAUGUGUGAAUGAUUCUUGGAUUGAUUCUUCAAAUCUUAUUUUGGAGGGUAUUUUUUGGUCAAAUAGGAAUAUUUUUUAACCAAGUAUAUCAACAAGUACAAUUAGCUCAUUUGACUCUAGACUUAAAUCUCAACGCUAAAACGCUCAAGUUACUAAUACUCAAUACACAUUGCUAAAGCUAUCAGUAACUUAAGGCAGGUUCCUUUCUAGGAAGAUUACAUGCCUCGAGUUUCUUUAUGUAGCAGCAGUUUGUGCACAAGUUAACAUGGGAAGUAGUUCAACAUAGUUAGGCAUUUCCUCCAUUUGGGUUUGCUCUGUCCUACAAGAUGAAGUUGUAGGGCUAUCUCAUUCAAUCUUACUUGCUUAUCUUGCUGCUUUUGUUGAAAUAUUCUACAGUUCUUUUCAGAUAACAUAAGGUACAAGUUGUAGAUAAUGACAAGCCUAGGUUCGUUGUCUUUGGCCUACUAUGUCUGAUGAGUGAGGCUAGCCAGUGCACCUUUUCCGCCCAAGAUCCAAACUGUCUAUUUUUACCCUACUAGUUAAGUAGGGACUGCCAAAUAUACCCAGAGUAAUCAUAGUAAAAAAAAUAGAUGAGUAUGAGUACAUGUUGUAGAUCAAAGUAAAUACUUUGUUUAGUUAUUCCAUCAAUUGUGGAUAGCCUGUUAAGCAGCACCAACCAUAGGAUGAAUUGAUGCUUAGGGAGCAUUCCUUGUGACAAAAUUAUCUUUUUACAAUAUACUUUUGGAAACUGAGGUAGCAGUGAUAUAUACAUUUUCUGAAAAUGUUGGAUUUUCUGGAUGUAGCCACACUAUCCAUUCUCUCAGUCCAAUCCACACCAUAAUCCCACCUUGUCAUAGCUUGAAAGACUUCCCUAACAACCCAACUAGCUUGUUUGGGAGUAGGUAUGUGUCCAAAGUUCCUGCCUUUCACAUACUAUGCAUGAAUCCAUAACACCCACAAACUAUCCUUCUUCUUAGUUACAACCCACAAUAGUUUGCAAAUGGUUGCCUUAUUUCAUAAAAAAAUAGUCUACAAGUUAGGUUCUUAAUUAAAUUACUCGUAGUUUCUCUGUUGUCUCUUUUAGAAAGAAACUUAAACCUCCCCCUCCUUAUGAGCCUAGAUUACCUUUGUUGUAACCAUCCUCAUUGAGUUCGACCCAUGUAGGCCUUGGUUUGCAUCAAUAUAAUUCCUGAGAAUGAAUAAUAGGCCUGCUUGCACCAUAAUGUUACAUUUGUCCCUCCAUAGACUAGGCAUCUGUAACCCAGGGAAUUGUGCUUUAAUUAUCAUACAAAUCAGCUUGUUAAUUUGUUGACUAAUAAAUCAAGUAGAAAUCUUUUCAUCUUAAAUUUCUGUUAUGUGAUGUUCUUUUUUUUGUUGUGCAUGUACUCUAAAUGAUGUUGCUGACUGAGGUUUUUUUAAACAUUAUAAAACAGAAGAUGGAUCGUGGUAAAGCCAAACAUUGGAGCAAUGAAAGAAAUAGCUAUUAAUAAUCUCACCUAUAAUAAAAGAAAAUAGCUACUAUGAUUCUUAUUUGUCAUAGUUAUGCUUUCUGUACUAAUGUCCAGUGAUAUGUGAACUUGGUAGAACAAUUAUAAUUUCCAUUCCUUAAUGUUGUUCUUGAACUCGAUUGUUAUACUAAUGUAUUUUUAUAUCUAUUUUAUAUACACCAAGAUUAUGGCACCUAAUAAGCAAUGGAUGAAACUCAUUAAAAAUCAACUU
rnacentral:lncRNA from 1 species